rnacentral:rRNA from 1 species
GAAAGCGUAGGUAGCGAACGGGAUUAGAUACCCCGGUAGUCUACGCCGUAAACGAUGCGUACUAGACUUCUGUAGCUCUGACGCUGCGGGAGUCGAAAGAAAACCGAUAAGUACGCCGCCUGGGGAGUACGGCCGCAAGGCUAAAACUCAAAGGAAUUGACGGGGGCUCACACAAGCGGUGGAGCAUGUGGCUUAAUUCGA